rnacentral:rRNA from 1 species
AGCGAACGCUGGCGGCAGGCCUAACACAUGCAAGUCGAACGAAGCCUUCGGGCUUAGUGGCGGACGGGUGAGUAACACGUGGGAACGUACCUUUUGGUUCGGAAUAACGCAGAGAAAUUUGCGCUAAUACCGAAUGAGCCCUUCGGGGGAAAGAUUUAUCGCCGAAAGAGCGGCCCGCGUUAGAUUAGCUAGUUGGUGAGGUAAAGGCUCACCAAGGCUACGAUCUAUAGCUGGUCUGAGAGGAUGAUCAGCCACACUGGGACUGAGACACGGCCCAGACUCCUACGGGAGGCAGCAGUGGGGAAUCUUGCGCAAUGGGCGAAAGCCUGACGCAGCCAUGCCGCGUGAAUGAUGAAGGUCUUAGGAUUGUAAAAUUCUUUUACCAGGGACGAUAAUGACGGUACCUGGAGAAAAAGCCCCGGCUAACUUCGUGCCAGCAGCCGCAGUAACAC